CACAUACACACACUUACACACUCACACGUACUUCAGCACCCUUCUCGACAGGCCCCAUGUGUCCAUCAGACUAACUCCUGCUACCGGGCAGGAGACCUGCUUCUGGAAGACAGAGAAGACACACAGAAACACACGGCAUCUUGAGUCCACUUGGUCGUUACUUGGAGGACUGAUUUGGUCCCGAACUCCAUGAGCUGCUGAAGAUCUUAGGUGACAGCCCUAUCAUGAAAACCAGCCAGGCCCAGGAAUCCACCCUCCUGCCAGCAUUUUUCAACCCAGGAAGGGAUAACAGGCAGUUACGUUUGCCUGCAGAGAGCAGAGAGUAGGAAGCCCAUCCUGACCGAGGUGUGGAGGAUGGCCGCGGUGUGAGGCCCACCUGCCCACAAUCACCCAGUGAUUGCAGAAAUCUUUUCCUUUUAAAAUCAUGGGGAAGGGGCGAGCUGAGGGAGACAAGAACCUAGGUAUGUGUCUGGCGUUCUACCCUGUUUGUAAUUGGGAGCAAUUUUACAAACUUGCAUCAUCUUUCCCAAUACAAUAGAUUUAGGGGUUCAAAAGUGCUGGCAUGAUGUCUUUUAAAUAUUUAGAAACCUUCUCCACCCCUACCACCAAAGCUGAGUAUUUGUUUUUUAAAAAUAAACCCUUGGCAAGGAUGCCACAUGGUGUCCGCAGCACAGGUAACUGUUGUGCAAGCCGGCCCGCCUGAGGGCCGAGGGUGGGGACCUGCCCACAGCUGUCACCCUGUUCCUAACAACUCCUCGGGGCACACCCUGCUCAUUAGGCCCCGGCCGCGCCUGGCCGCCCAGACUCUUGGUGGAACCAGAAUGCCAGGAGCGGGCGGCUCCUUGAACCCUGAACAAUCGGCUGUGAGGAGUUAAUCCAGACCAAGGGCCGGGGUGCCCAGAAAGCUGGGUGCUGGGAGCUCCCUCUCCCACGCCUAGGACGGGCCUGGGCAGCCUGCACACUGGCCCAGCUCCCGGGUCUCCAGGUGGCCAGGAAGCAGCAGGGGCCCCAGAGGGAGCCCAGCAGAGCUCUAGGCAGUUCAGGUGGACUUGUGAUUAGAGGCUGCCUCUCUCAGGGGAGGGCUGAGCCACGCCGACAUUACCUCACUCCGGCUCAGUGACCCCCAGGCAGAGGAGGAAACUAAAGCUCGGAAACUCAAGCUUCAGAAGUGGUGAAACCACAACAGGGAGCCGGGAGGUCAAAUUCCAAGAGGAAGAGACCCAUUUGCCGCCUUCAAAUCUCUGAAGAGCCGUGAGGAACAGGGAAUGGCCAUCUCCUGUGGGGAUGACGGGUGGAAGAGGCAGCAAGCAGAUGGGUUACAGUGCAAGGAGGGACCGAUGGAAGGAAGAACCCUCCAGGCUGGGUAAUCGUUCUGCCCUGGGAAUGUUGUAUAGGAAAUUCAACUCCUGUAAUGCUGAGUGGGAAGAGUGGGGCUACGUGAUAGUUACACCUUUUCACACCAAGAACCUAUGAUGAAAUGGGAACUCUCUUGGCUUCUAUGGCCCUUGAAUUCCCCUCUAUGAGUACCAUACUGGAUCAAGAUAAAGUUGUUGCUGAGUGUCUCUACCUCCUGCUGUUACAGACUGGGAUGGAGUGGAGAGAAGAGGUCAAGAAGCAGGGAUGGUGGGCUGUGUGGUGGCCCCUGGACCACAGCCAGCUGAGAGUCUGAUGUGGGAAGGGUCUGCUGGAGCUCCAUGCUCUGAGGGCCGAGUGCCCUGAGGCCAUCUUUAUCUGCUGUCCCCGAGAGGUAACUGGGGCAUUCCCAUUGAUUUGGGCGGCCAGCCAAAGACCUGCCUGGGCCUCAUGGGCAGCUGUCUCCUUUGCCACAGUGACCAGAAUGAGUUGCCAGGUCAAGGCAAGCCCGGCCUCGGCCAUGGGUGUUGGUCAGCCACCUGUGUCCAAGCAGCAGCUAGCCAAUCACUGGCCAUCCCUCCUCUGCAGCUGGCCUGGAUUGUCCAUAUCGAAGAGGAGCUCUCUUAGGACAUCUGAGUAACUGAAAUCUGGAAUCUGGAGCUACAGGUGGAGUGAUUGGACUCUAGCAUCCCAACACUGUCUGCGGAACACCUCAAGCUACAAAAUUGUCUGCCGCAGGUCCUUGAGGGUUAAGAGAAACCAGACCGUCCCCCUUGUCCAGAAAGCCUCCCAGGAGUGUGCUCAGUUGGUGAACAGAGGGUGGCACCAUCCCUCCCCCACCACACCUCCUGGCCACCCACCUCCUGCUUGGUUCUUGGUUUUCCCCUGGAGGCAUUUCCUGCCAUCCUGGGGAGGUGUGGGUACAAGCAGCCUUCAGGCUCAGCCCAGCCUGGCCCAUGUUCUUCUAGGAGUCCUGGGAGCUACUCCCACUCAUUCAUUCGUUACUCAAUGCUUCCUGAGCACCCGUGCACCUGCAAACCUAAAACAGCAGAUAACUCCCUCAUAGAAAAAUGGGCAAAGGAUAUGAACAGGUGAUUCCCAGACCUGGCCUUGCUACUUAUUUGCUGUGUAAAUUUGGGGAAGUAACUUAACCACUCUGUGCCUGUUUUCUUAUCUGUAAAAUUGUGAUAAUAAUGCUUCUAAUUCACUGGGUUACUGUGGAAACUGAAUGAGAUAAUCCACAUGUUAUGAGUAGAAUUGUGUCCCCCACCAGAUUCACGUGUUGGAGCCCUAACCUCCUGGUACCUCAGAAUUUAUUUGGAGACAGGGACUAUAACGGGUGAUGACGUUAAAAUGAGGCCAUUAGGGCCUAUAAGGGGUGAUGACGUUAAAAUGAGGCCAUUGGCCCUAAUCCAAUAUGACUGGUGUCCUUGUAAGAAGAGGAAAAGACAAAGAAAUGGGCACACAGAGAAAAGACCAUGUGAAGAGGUAGCAAAAGGGUGGCCAAGGAAAGAGGCUGAAGGAGAAAUGAACCCUGUGGGCACCCUGAUCUUGGCUGUCUAGCCUCCAGAAUGCUGGGAAAAUAAAUGUCUGUGGUAUUUUGUUAUGGCAGUCCUAGCAUACUAAUAUACCACCCAAAGCACUAGAACAGCAUCUGGCAUAUGGUAUAUACUCAAUAAAUACUAAUUACUGCCAUAAAUAUUAUUGUUUAUCUCAGCUGUAUACCCACUAUAUUCGUUUCCUACUGCUGCUGUAGAAAAUUACCCCCAAACGAACUGGCUUAAGAUAACACAUAUUUAUUUUCUUAUAGUUCUGUAGGUCAGAAAUCCCACUGGACUAAAAUCAAGAUGUCUGCACGGCUGUAUUCCUCCUGGAGGCUCUAGGGAAGAACCCAUUUCCUUGUCUUUUCCAGUUUCUAAAGGCCACCUCAUUUCUUGGCUGGGGCCCCUUCCUUCAUCUUUAAAGCCAACAGGGUAAGAUGUUCCAAUCCAUCUUUCUCUGACCCUCCUGCCUCCCUCUUAUAAAGACCCUACGAUUACAUGGCGCCCACCCAGAUGAUUCAGGAUCACCUUCUCAUCUCAAGAUCCCUAACUUAAUCACAACUGCAAAGUCCCUUUUGCCAUGGAAGGUCACGUGUUCACAGAUGUGGGGGAUUAGGACAUGUGCAUCUUUGGGAGAAGGGCCAUUAUUCUGCCCACCACACACAUAAUCUAUGAUUAAGUGAAAAAAACGAGCCAUAGAACAACACCUAUAGGUUAAUCUCACUUAUGGAAAAAGACACUAAAUCAAUUUAUAGAGAGAGAAAGAAACUCACACAACUAUUAACCAUGGGGAGGGCGUCGGGGCGUCGGGGCUUUUUGUGUAUUGUUCUAACUUUUUUCUUUUACAGUAUGCACAUAUUCACAGAUGACUUGUGUAAUUUGAUUUUUUUUUUAAGUAAUCCAAAGGAAAGAAGAAGAGAUGAGUGCCCAUCCUUGGGGAGCUCAGUCUAGGGACGUCAAACAAAUCAACAGCCUCAAGUCCUCUCGCUUCAUGGUCUGAGAAGCGGCAGCUGGCGUGGAGGCUCCCACCCGCCUGGGUGACACUACCUGAGGUGACACUUCUGCUGGGCUCUGAAGGAUAAGAAAAAGUUUCCCAGAUAGAGAGGAGGCAGAAGCGUGUUGCCAAUGGCAGCGGGCCUAAAGGGGCCGCCCUUUGCCGGGCGGUGUAGGAGCCAUGGAGCAGAGGCCAGAGGCAGGACUGGGCUGCUUGGCUGUGGGCAGGCCCUGUGCUGAGUGGUGGUGUAGGCAUUUCCUCAUUAGAUGUCAGUGAACUGAGGCUGUGUGUUUUGAUGAGACGAGAGAAGGUCUGACUGGAUGAGAAAGGGCAUGAAAGCAGGUGGCAGGGCCUUGGUGCAGCUGGUGCAGACAGGGAGAGCUGGGGAAGGGGGCAGGUAGGGCAGAGCCAGAGGCAGUGCCUUCCCUCAGUCCCCACCCACCUCCCACGGCCCCAUCUGCAAGCUUAGCCCCAAGACAAGUAGCAGGUGCAGGACAAGGUCUCCGGCAGCCUCUCCUAGGGUUGCGGGAGCUUCUAGGCCUGACCUGGGACCUGCUGCCUGGGGGCUGACUGCCAGGUCUGCAUGGUGUGUGCAAGGCAGCUGGCCACAGACCCGGCCAGGUCAUCCUGGCAGCGAGGUGACGGCACAACACCAUUUCUCUUAGUCCACUGGGGCUGCUAUAACAAAAUACCACCGAUCGGGUGGCUUAUAAACAUCAGGAAUGGACUUCCCUGGUGGCGCAGUGGUUAAGAAGCCGCCUGCCAAUG